GCCGAUGUAGCUCAAUGGUUGAGCAGCGCUUUUGUAAAGCGAAGGUUGGAGGUUCGAAUCCUCUCAUCGGCU
rnacentral:tRNA from 1 species